UGUGAAUCUUCGACUGUGAAUCAGCUGAAUUUUUCCCCCUAGAUACGCAAACAUGUGCUUUUGUAAUUUGUACAGAAAACAAACAGACGAGUAUUUUUUGUUGAUUUGGCUCUGUACUACGGUAUCAGUAAAAGAUUGUUCACUUUUCAAAAAAAUAAAUAAAUAAAAAAAAUCUAAAUACGAUGGACGAAUAAGAUGUAAUAGCGCCAUUAGAGUAUCUGAAUUUAUUGAUUCACGGAACACAAAUGCGAUUCCAUAAAUUGGACAGCCUGCUCAGGACCUUGCAGAAUCACCAGAUCAUCUAUUUUACCAGCAUGCAGCAUGGAAAUGCAGUUCAAGUACUUCUCUGAAAUAUAUACCGUAAUUCUUGACAACCAUGUAUUGCUCCAUCUCUGAUCUUACCAGUAAGUAUGACAUUUUUAAUUUUUUAUUAAAAAUAAAAUUAAUUAUAUGCACAUUAAUUCUUGGCAGAAGUAAAUAUUUUAUCCCAAAAGGUGGUACUGGAUCUUUUCUUCAAACCUAAAGGUAUAUGGGGUUUCAAUGUCAAUGUCCAUCUGUUUCCUCCCACCGCUGAAGGUGUGUGUGUGUGUGUGCAUGCUGCCUCGCCAUGGUCUAGCAUCCCAUCCAUGAUUUAUUACCCAGAGUUCACACACACACACACACACACACACACACACACACACACACACACACACACACACACACACGGUUCCUGGAUCCAGUGCAAUCCUGGCGGAGUACAGAAGUUACUAUAUAUAUAUAAAUGCAUAAAAAAAAUCUAAAUCAUGCCGCUUAAGCAUCUAACAGCUAACUGCGAUUACCUGUGUGUAGUUUACGUAUAUUUUCUUUAGUUGAUAAUAAACAAUUGUAAAUUGUCUUUUCAGGCUUACUUAAAUCUACUUAAAUUGGCAAAAUUACAAGCUCAGGAUUGAGAACACAGUGAAAACACAAAUGGAAUGUUUUGCCCUAAAUCUGUAUAAAAUCGGUGGUAACCUUUAAAAAAUUGUGAGGAAUUUCUUUGACUUUGCGCUAAUUUGUAUGAUCACAAAAUUACAAAAUUCAAAAAUAAUUAAAUGAGAAGGCAGCAUUGCAUGACAUCAGUGUUACCCAAACUAUAGAAUGCAGCUUCGUACAAGCUGAUGGUCAGAGAAUAUAUCAUAUCUGAGAAAUGCCUCCGUAGAGUGUUUGAUUCUCUACUUACAUAACAUCUAAAGUCUGGAUGCCGAUGCGCCCCAUAUGCACCUCAGAACUCGAUUCUGAAUACUCUGGCCGGUGUCCAGCUGGUAGCUCCUAUAUUCUAUCUCUUAUUGUUUCACCAUCAUAUAUUGUUGACUCAAGGUCGGUAUCUUCUUUGAGUUUGAGUAUCUCUUUCUAAAGUUUAACCCAAAUCGAUCAUGAAGCAAGAGGGAUUUGAGCUUUAUUUCCCAGUUCUUCUCUCCUCAGUCUUUUUCUCAGUUACAGAGACCUGGAGGCACAGAUAGAAAGCACAUUUCAGAGACCAUAACCCACCAUCCAGGAGUGUCUUCCCUCUUCAUCGUCUUCCUGUGAUGUUCUCCAGAGAGCCGAGAGCCUCCGCUGUCUGAUCUCCGAUUCAUCCUACCUGCAGGCUACAAAGUCCCAUCAGUACCUAUAUGGGCAAAAGAAUGCGGGUCCUCUGAAGAACAGCACAUCUCGCCAUCAUCACCAACCUGGAACAUAAAGCCAUCCUAAGCUAAACCAAUCACGUUCCUCACUGUUCGCAGACAACACAACAGAGCUGGUAAACUUUCAUCAGCAUCAUCACCAGCAGCAGCAACAACAACAACGGCGGCAUUUUAAUAAAACUCUGCAAGUGUGUGUGAUCCGAGUGAUCCUGGGAAUGCAUUUCUAUUAUAUCUCCAUUUAACAAAAUGAAAAAUUCCGACUCCGGCCAGUUAUUAAGCUUAAAGCUUGCUUGCUGUUUCUGCCUCCCUGCUCUUUCCUAAUGGGGGAAAAACAUGAAACGAACAAACAAACAAAAGAAUAGUUAUAAUCUCAUACUCUUUCAAUUUCCCAGAUUUUAUGUGUAUUAAAAAACAACCAGAACUUAUAACACAGAAUCUAAGCAAAUGAAGCAACAACUUGAAAUAAAACUCAUCAUUCUAUCUAAACUUUCUUCCACAAAAUCUUUCCACAAGUCGCUAAAAGGACGAUUAGCAAGUAUGCUAAC